rnacentral:rRNA from 1 species
AAUUGAAGAGUUUGAUCAUGGCUCAGAUUGAACGCUGGCGGCAGGCCUAACACAUGCAAGUCGAACGGUAACAGGAAGAAGCUUGCUUCUUUGCUGACGAGUGGCGGACGGGUGAGUAAUGUCUGGGAAACUGCCUGAUGGAGGGGGAUAACUACUGGAAACGGUAGCUAAUACCGCAUAACGUCGCAAGACCAAAGAGGGGGACCUUCGGGCCUCUUGCCAUCGGAUGUGCCCAGAUGGGAUUAGCUUGUUGGUGGGGUAACGGCUCACCAAGGCGACGAUCCCUAGCUGGUCUGAGAGGAUGACCAGCCACACUGGAACUGAGACACGGUCCAGACUCCUACGGGAGGCAGCAGUGGGGAAUAUUGCACAAUGGGCGCAAGCCUGAUGCAGCCAUGCCGCGUGUAUGAAGAAGGCCUUCGGGUUGUAAAGUACUUUCAGCGGGGAGGAAGGGAGUAAAGUUAAUACCUUU